CUGGCCCUGCUUAACUAAUCUGGAGGCUUUUGUGUGUUGUUUUUGCCUGAUUCUACCAAGCAAGCUUUAGUGCUAAAAUCCCACCCUUGGAGCCAGUGACUCAGCCUCUCUGGUCAGUGCUCCCUAGUCUGGGGGGAGCUGGCUGUGUAGCAGUCUGCUUAGUGAUUGGCAACAUUGUGUGCGAGGGUAGGUUUGACAGGCGACAGGCACAACAGGGCUGAAAUGAACUGUUAGGUCAGCUGCAGCCUGUGUUGUGACUCUGGUCAUGUCUUGGCCAAUCAGUUGUCAGCACAGCAUCUAUGAACAUUGUCUCAGGACAUGAGAUCACUCAGCAGAUGCUGGGUGAGAAAAGUUGGAGGAGCAGAGAACUUGGUGACUGCUUAGUCCAGAAGCCGAGGCACCUGCAGGCCCGUUGGAGAGUCCGUGGUGUAAGUCUGUGUUCAAGGGAGAAGGAGGAGGGGGAGGAGGAGCGGGAGGAGGAGGGGGAGGAAGAGGAGGAGGAAGGGGAGGAGGAGGAGGAGGGGGAGGAGGAGGAGGGGGAGGAGGAGGAGGGGGAGGAGGAGGAGGGGGAGGAGGGGGAGGAGGAGGGGGAGGGGGAAGAGGAAGAAGAAGAGAGAAAGAGGAAGGAGAAGAGGAAGAGAAGGAGGAACAAAAGGAAGAGGAGGAGGACAAGAGGAAGAAGGAGAGGGGAAGGAAGAGGAGGAGGAGAAGGAGAGGGAGAAGGAGCCGGUGACAAAUGACACAGGAGUCUGAUGUCCCCAGGCAGUGAGAGCAGAGAUCUGCACGGGCCAGAGUUGACUUUAUGCCUACUCCAUGUGACCUCAGAGCCUCCAAGACUUGGCUUCUUCAUCUGGAACAUGGUGGUGGUGACCACAAGGGUCUCUUAUGCCCAUCAAAGUCUCAUGAGACAUCCGAGGGAGAUCGAUUAAACACAGAGGAGCCCCAGUCAGAGCUUCGAUGAUACCACUUCAGUCAUUCCAGGGAGGAGACUCUGCUAACUCUUGGCAGAGAAGAAAACAGCAGGGCACACUAGUGCAGAAGGAACUAAGACAGGUCCAUGGGUAGACAGGGUCUGUCUCUCAACAGAGCCAGGAAUGUUACCCCUGCAGCCCUGGACCUUACAAAUGCCCUCUUCUCCCUCUCCUAUCACAGAUCACUCAGAGGCUGAGUCCCCAGGACACAUGCAGCCUACACACAGACUAACACUAGAAGAGUCAUUGUGCAUGAAGCAGAGUCUGUAGGAGAGACCUAACCACUCAGCAGGAAAAACACCAAAUUUAAAACAGGCAAAUAAAACAAUCUAGAUUUGAUAACAUGUCAGAUGGACACCCGAUUCCUGAGGUCUUAAAGCUAGUUUCUAAGGUGUAGCCACCUGAUAAAUGUUCCUUCCUUGUCUCUCUUGUAAGUGACUGUAGUUGUCCCAAGCCAUCUCCCAAUUCACAUUACACACAGGGCACAGGCAUACCCUGGAAGCCCCACAUGGUCCUCUGAUUAUUCCAGUGUCAUGAAUGAGCUGUGACAGAAACACAGAUGGGCAUACACCUUUCCAUGGUGUCCAAGUUAGAUUGAAUACCAGUAAAUUCAGAAGUUGUGUCAAUUUGUUGUCUGCAGUUCACCAAGCCUCCCAACUACACUUGCCAGACCUGGCCUUGCCAGCCUCAGUAACUAUACUAACUCUUAGCUCACCCACUGGCAUCUACAUGCGUUACCCAAUGGCUGCAAGGGGCUUAGCAAGGUCACAGAGUUCAGGACACUGCCCUGCAGACAGAGGCAGGGAGCUGAAACAGAACAAAAUGUCUUCAGGUAUCCCCUGUGAGGCCCUAGCAUGGGCUCAGUGCUCUCAGACUCAUAGUUGUCAACUGCAGACAUAGGCAAGCCAUCCCAAGUGUCAUUUUGAGGUAGGCUGCAUGUCACCAGCAUGAAAAACUAUACCUGGUCCAGAGCCUGGGGACAGGUGUGAGGUCCUCUCCUGAGACAAUUUUCCUGGACUAAGAGUAGCCAAAUGAUGGGUUGAUGUCCUACUAUGUCCCAGGAUUGGGGUGUUCCAAGUGUUGAGGGCUUAUUUACAUCUAAUGCGACCGAGCUCAGAGGCCUGGUGUUUCUGAUAUGGUUUCAGUAUGCCCAUGUGUUUGUGUAUUCCUGUUGACUUGGUAAGCUCACAGGUGGUAAAAAUUUAUCUAUGUAAAUAAAUCAUGUGUCAUUCGGUACUUCGUGGUUUGUACUGAACAGAUGGUA